CAACUAGCUCUACAAAGGAGGUUCCCAAACAAGCCCAGUAGUUCGGAGGAAGGCAAAAGUUCUUGGAGCUUGAUUUGGUAUCUGCAGAUUCCAGAGAAAGUGAAAAUUUUUAUAUGGAGGGCAGCAAAUAACGUGUUACCUACAGCAGAGAAUUUAUGGAAGAAAAGAGUAUUGCAAACCCCUUGGUGUCAGAGACGCAUGAGUUAUGAAGAGUCAACCUUUCACUCCCUGUUUGAAUGUAAAGCCUCGCGGAAGAUUUGGAAACUCACAUCUUUUGCAAAUGAACUGAAGACUCUAAAGUAUAGAGAUGUUUUAAGUCUACCAUCAGUUGUGGCUGAACAACGAAACAAGACUGAAAUGGAGCUGAUAGUUGCCUUAUGUUGGAGCAUAUGGCACACAAGGAAUCUGUUUAUUUUCAAGAACAAAAAAGAAGACUCACAGUUAUCAGUAGCUGAAGCUGAGGCAAUUGUUCAGUCCUAUAGAAGAAUUCAAAUGCCACAAAUGCAAGAAAUAGCAUAUCAGAAUUCGGCAUUCCAGAAGCAUUGGAAGAGCCCCCCUGCAGGUUGGUUUAAGGUAAACGUUGAUGCAGCUGUAAACAUAGACCAACAAAGAGUAGGCUUGGGUAUUGUGAUCAGAAAUGCAGAAGGCAAACUUGUAGCAGUAGUUAUAAAGCCUACAAAAUGCUUUGAUAAAGUUGACUAUCCAGAAGCUGAAGCAACUAAGUUCGGGCUGGAAGUAGCUGAAGACAAAGGAUGCUUACCGUUAAUUGUUGAGACUGAUUCAAAGGAAGUAGUAGACUUGGUCUCAGCAAGGAAAAAGUCAAAGGCAGAAAUUUUUUAGGUAGUAUCUGAGAUCCAAGAGACGAUGAAGAGAUUGAAACAUGUCAAUAUUCAACACACACCAUGAGCCUGUAACGAAUUUGCUCACAUUCUUGCAAAGUUAGUUUUAGACUACAAUGAUUGUAUAUG
rnacentral:lncRNA from 1 species